AGCCACGGUAUCCGGCUGCCAUCGAUUUUUUAAAAUAAACUUUGUUACCUUCUCCCUUUGGAUACAGGCAGGCUCAAGUGGUGUUCUAUGUUCUUGUGGCUCAGAGCCACUGGUGGAGGAUACGGGAGAAACCUUCAUCACCUCAUCUUCUCAGGGCCUACUGCAAGCCAGCGUCUCCCCUCCUUCCUCUCUGCUUCAAGAUCCAUGACGUGACAAAACCAGUUUCUUACAUGGAGGUAAUUUUGUUUUGCUACAUAUAAGUCCCUGCAGAAUGACAAAUAGCAGAUAUUUAAUAAAUGCAUAUUGAACAGGUGAAGGCACUUUGUCUCAAAGGGAUAACCCUAGAGUUGAUUUGACUCAGGAGAAAAUACAGCUCACACAGCUCAUUGGAAUGCUUAUUGUUUUGCCAUUUCCUUGAAGUGGAAAGUCCCAGUCAGUUAUCAAUUAAUAGUAUCAACAACUAUUUUAUCUGGUGCUUAACAGGGGAUGACAUCCAGAGGUAACUUCACAGACAGAGCCUGUUGUGAAACAGGUUGAAUUCUGCCACAUUUUACUACCUUCCUGGUCUCAGACCAAUCACUUAACUCUUGCAAUGCUACAUGUGGAAAAUAUAUUCUGCUAUCAGUGAAUUUACUAGCCUGUGAUACCAUGUUCCAGAAGCCAGCAGGACUGAGUUACUGGUGUAAUUGAGCCCCUGGCUUUGCAAGUUUGUGCACUUAAGUAUCUCUGGGUGAAAAGUAAUGAUAUAAACACAAAGGAACCAUUAUUAGAGAAAUCAUAUUUAUGUUCCCAUAUUGUAUGGGGUCAGAGGAAAGCAAGACAAGGGCAAGACUUGGGCAAGUGACAAGACAUAUUAGCAGUGGCAGCAACAGUGCUGGGUAAACAGUUGUAAAUCCCAAAUGCUGAGCCGUGUUAACAUUUUACAGAAUGCUUUGAUUCUUUUCAGCAAGAUACAAAGCAAGAAUAAAUUCACACAGCCUCCUUUGAGGUCAGUGUGAUUUCUCUGUUUCUGCGGAAAAGCACUAACUAAUCACAUGCUAAUUCAUAGUUUGAUGCUCAUCAAACUGGAGUGGACAGUUAGAGGUAGGGAUGACACACACACACACACACACACACACACACACACACACAAAAAAAAAAAAAAAAAAAAAAAAAGAAGAAGACUGGUUUUCCCAGAACCUGAAUGGAGAUCCUGCAGCUAGAAGAGGUCACCAGUCUGUCUUUAGGGUGUUCUUUUUAGACAUCCAAAUGCAGACCGGAUGGUGCCUUCCCAGAAGAGCAUGUUGUGGGGCAUCUCUCUAUGGGGAUAACUGGGGAAGGAAGCUUCCUCCCAAAGGACAUGCAGCCAGAGUAUGAUUUUACAGUAGAAUCUAAGAAUAUUAAUAAUUCGUUGAACAUAAAUGACCAAGGAGCUGAUUUCAGUAAGAAGUUUCCGGGAGAAGUUUCCAACUGUCAUAACUGCCAAGUAUUAAAGGGCAAGAUGCCACUAAUUCCCAGUGGAUUAAAAAUACUGCUAGUUUUUCUCAAGGACAUUUCAAUUUUGGAAAGAGUGUCAGUUUAGAAACACAAAUAAUGCCAUUUUCGAGAUGAAAUGAAAUCUGAAGGAAUUAGACAAUUUACCAAUAAGAAGGACUUUUCUCAAGUAAUCUUUGAACUGUGUGUUCUAGAAAGACUGUAUGUACUGAGUGGAGGCAGGUGGAUGAGAAGAGGAGCUGAGGAGGAGGAGGAGGUGUCUGAGGAAUGUGGCCUGGGGCUACUCAGACACAUUGUUGCAAAGGAGGAAUCUGACCUAGGAACCAAUCUCCAUCUCUUGAGGUGUCUGGGCCAAAACAUGUUUUAUGACUUUGAUGAUAGAAAAAAAUCUAUGUAUUUUGAAUGCUGAUAUAAUGAAGAUCAAAGCUACACAAUUUGGAUGAAAAGAACAUUACUGUCACAUUUCAAGUUUUGCAAAAUAAAUGAUGGAAUGAUCUUUAGAUGACAUGCCUGAAAGUGAAGAUUUGGGUACCUCACAAAAAAGAAUCUUGCAAAUGCAUACAGAGAAAAUUAUGAUAAUGCAAACAAAGCCCUUGAAUUUAUGUUGCAUGAAAGAAGUUUAAAGUAGAAGUAAGUAAGUACGAGUCUAUGUUAAUAGAAUAGCCACUGUAAGUAGGAAUAUUUAUCCAUUGUUUACAAAUCCAUAAGAUUAUUAGAUGAAAACUAUACCAUUUCAAAUAUGUAGGACUCUUUCUCAUCCACUUACAAAAGUAAUGGCUUUAGUAUCUAUUGUUUACUUAUGUCUCUACCAUUCCAGAACUUGAGUAGAGCAGGUUUUAGUCCCAUUUUUUGGUUUGGGCAGGUAGCGCAGAGGGAGGGAGAAGCAGCUUCAGGGGUCAAGUCUAAUUGACGGGCGCUGGACCUUGAUCUUUGGACACCCUAACUGGGCCUCUUCUACCAAACCAGACCAUGAAUUGCCCCCAAACCAGUUCUUCUGAAGUAACCAAAUCUAUCAAUGAAUGAAUAUUAAAAUGAAGCUUGAACAAGCCUCAAGUGCAAAGGGGACUAAGAAUGGAGUCUGGUAGGGAGAGGCACCCCAAAAUGAGAGUAGGUGCAGAAAGAAAAUUAAAGCAAUUCUGAAAACAGGUUUCUUUCAUUUCUGAGUUUUACUUCUUUCAAUUCUUGGGAACCAGGAGAAUAUGGCAGCACAGGGGCUUGAGAACAGGCUGCGCUGGGAUUUGGAAAACCUUCUGGAACCUCAUCUAUAAAAGGAAGAGGUUGGAUUCAAUGAUGUCUUCUCUGCUUUAAUAUGUUCUGGUUUCACCAAGCAGGUCUUUGCCUGGCACCUAUAAAGAUCCUCAGCCCACACAAAGCAACACCAUCCAGAAGGAAAAUGCCCUUCGGGUCAGUUUCAGGACUUCAGUGUUCACCACGAUGGACCUGCUACUGCCAUGUAAGAAGCCUGCUCCCACUUUGCCUUCUGCCAUGAGUAAAAACUCCCCAAGGCCUCCCCGGAAGCAGAUUCUGCCAUGGUUCCUGUGCAGCCUGUGGAGCAGCGAGCCAAUUAAACCUCUUUUCUUUAUAAA